GCCCUGGUGGCACAACGGUUAAGCACUCAGCUGGAAACUGAAAGGUUGGUGGUUGGGACCCACCCAGUGGCA
rnacentral:tRNA from 1 species